rnacentral:tRNA from 1 species
GGAGGAGUACCCAAGCGGCUGAAGGGGCUGGUCUCGAAAACCGGUAGGUCGUGCAAGCGGCGCAGGGGUUCAAAUCCCCUCUCCUCCGCCA